UGGGGAAUAUUGGGCAAUGGGGGAAACCCUGACCCAGCAACGCCGCGUGAAGGAAGAAGGUUUUCGGAUUGUAAACUUCUGUCCUAAGGGAAGAAAGAAACGACGGUACCUUAGGAGGAAGCCCCGGCUAACUACGUGCCAGCAGCCGCGGUAAUACGUAGGGGGCAAGCGUUGUCCGGAAUUAUUGGGCGUAAAGGGUGCGUAGGCGGCCGAUCAAGUCAGGUGUGAAAGACCCGUGCUUAACAUGGGGGUUGCACUUGAAACUGGUUGGCUUGAGUAUGGGAGAGGCAAGCGGAAUUCCCGGUGUAACGGUGAAAUGCGUAGAGAUCGGGAGGAACACCAGUGGCGAAGGCGGCUUGCUGGACCAAAGCUGACGCUGAGGCACGAAAGCGUGGGUAGCAAACAGGAUUAGAUACC
rnacentral:rRNA from 1 species